rnacentral:rRNA from 1 species
AGGAUGACGGCCCUCUGGGUUGUAAACUGUUUUUGUACGGAAAUAAACCCCUCUACGUGUAGAGGGCUGAAGGUACCGUACGAAUAACCACCGGCUAACUCCGUGCCAGCACCCGCGGUAAUACGGAGGGUGCGGGCGUUAUCCGGAUUCAUUGGGUUUAAAGGGUGCGCAGGCGGAAGCUUAAGUCAAUGGUGAAAUCCUCUCCCUCAACGAGAGAACUGCCAUUGAUACUGAGUUUCUUGAGUUUGGUUGACGUUGGCGGAAUGUGUCAUGUAGCGGUGAAAUGCUUAGAUAUGACACAGAACACCGAUCGCGAAGGCAGCUAACGAAGCCAAUACUGACGCUCAGGCACGAAAGCGUGGGGAGCAAACAGGAUUAGAUACCCUGGUAGUCCACGCUGUAAACGUUGAUCACUUGACAUUGGCGAUAUACGGUCAGUGUCCCAAAGAAAUUGUUUAGUGAUCCACCUGGGGAGUACGCCGGCAACGGGUGAAACUCAAG